rnacentral:rRNA from 1 species
AUGAACGCUGGCGGCGUGCCUAAUCCAUGCAAGUCGCGCGAACAGACGAGGAGCUUGCUCCUCUGACGUUAGCGGCGGACGGGUGAGUAACACGUGGAUAACCUACCUAUAAGACUGGGAUAACUUCGGGAAACCGGAGCUAAUACCGGAUAAUAUAUUGAACCGCAUGGUUCAAUAGUGAAAGACGGUUUUGCUGUCACUUAUAGAUGGAUCCGCGCCGCAUUAGCUAGUUGGUAAGGUAACGGCUUACCAAGGCAACGAUGCGUAGCCGACCUGAGAGGGUGAUCGGCCUCACUGGAACUGAGACACGGUCCAGACUCCUACGGGAGGCAGCAGUAGGGAAUCUUCCGCAAUGGGCGAAAGCCUGACGGAGCAACGCCGCGUGAGUGAUGAAGGUCUUCGGAUCGUAAAACUCUGUUAUUAGGGAAGAACAAAUGUGUAAGUAACUAUGCACGUCUUGACGGUACCUAAUCAGAAAGCCACGGCUAACUACGG